CUACCCAAACAAAAAAAUACAUCAACAAAUUAUAUCAAAAUUGUGAAUAAAUCUGGAAUAAAUCAUGUUUUCCUGAUUUGUUAAUACAAUUUGUUCAUGAUUCAUUAAAUGAAUCAUAAAUAAAUUGUGCUUUUACUGGAAAGAAAAUACCCCAUUUAUUAUAGAUUCAUUACAAAAGACAGAUUUAUUAACCAUUGAUUACAAACAUAAGAUAUAUUCAAUACAAUUUAUUGCAAAUUCAUUACACUUGAACUGGAAUGUAUACAAUUUAUUCAUGAUUUAUUGGAAAUAGAACUUUUCCCGACUGCAUUUAAUACCAUUUAUUACAAAUUUAUUACACUUUAAAGUUCUGAGAUAUUCACAAGUUGUUCAUGAUUCAUUAAAAUCAGAGAUUUUCCAGGAUUUAUUCAAUACAAUUCAUAACAUAUUCAUUGUACUUCAGAUGUUCAUAAUUUGCUUAAUUAUAACAGAAAUUCAUUGAUGUAUGUCCUUUUGUUUUACUGUUCAUAACAACUAAACCCCUCUCAACUAUACAAAUAUUUUUUUUAAAUUUCCCUUUACUCAUUACCGUACUUGUUUUUAAUCAGUCACUGGAAAAUAUAUAUGGGUUUUUCAAGUCCCUUAGUUUAAGCAUCACCAUAUUAUUAAUUCCAUGCUCAGUGCAAAACGUAAAAAAAAGAGUCAAUUAUACAAUCUCGUUUUACUGUUAAAUAUGUCUAACUAAUUUGCAUGUAGAUUUUAUUUUUGUGUGAUCAAGAUCAGUUUUUGUCUUUCUUAUUGUUAAUACGCAAUCUGAUCCAUACCCACGGCUUUUUAUGAUUAGAUCUAUCCUUAUAAGUAAAAAAAAAACUGUCGAAUAGAUUAACGUAUAUGCGUAAAAAUGUAAAAUGUCGUAAAAAAGCGACUUAAUUCUCUCGGACUUAACAUCUGUUGUUAGUUUAUUGUUUUGAACAGCAUGGCUCCCAGCCGCGCGAUUAAACGAUAAGAUCUUGCAGGGAACUGCAGCCUACUGUCAGCGCCCCCUAUCAGCCGACAACAGAACAAGAUUAAUAGGAAACGAAAUUUUUUUGCCAUUUCAGAAAAAAGAUAUCUUACCAUACAGUUUUCUUUCUUUUGGAUAUAACUAAUGUCAGAAACAAACUAACUUACAACAGAUUUUGUCAUUGCAGCUGCAAAAUUAGGAACUUUAUACAAUACUAUAGUAGCUAGGAAUAACAUUUCGUUUGCAUUAAUUCUAUGCAUAGAAAAAGGCGGUUAUUUUGGAAGAUAAAAAAUUGUGGUGUUACACAAAAAUAUGGAUAAAAAACAAUAUCAAGGCAUCUAGACUACUGAUAGACGGUAAGUUCAAAAUUUUCUUUUCGUUCUACAUAGCGUUUUUAAAAACCUUCUAGAUCUAUAACAUAUGUAUAAGUUGACAAAAAAUAAAAUUUACUGGAGUAAUGUGCAGAUUAGGAUAACGAUCGAUUCGCCCCAUAACGACUCGCCCCAUUUUAGUGACGAUUCGUCCCACCCUAAUGGCACCACCUUAAAUUAAACAUUUUUUUAUUCAUUUGAUUUGGAUUGAAAAAUAUUUAUGAUACAAGAUACAAGUUUUAAAAUAUGCACGCAUGUACAUGCAUUGUUUAUGAGGAUAUCUAUGUACAGCCCAUUUUAAAAACAUAAAUCUGCAUUGUUUCACACUGAGCUCAUCUGCACAUUUGAAUGCUAUGAAAAAUGAUGUUCUUUUUUAUUUUAAGUGACUUCAGAAGACUAUUUUUCUUUUACUUAGUUAUCUCACAGAAAACUGAAAAGAGCAGCCAAGAAAGGACAGAACGUAAAAAUCAGCAACUCUGAUGAGAUGGUAAAAAGCAGAUGAACGGGAGAUAAUAAAAUGCAGAUGGACGGCUUCUUUGAUCGUGAAGAGUUUGCUAUUAUAGUUAUGGGACGAGGGCAUUCCAAGGAAAUGACAUAUAUGAGUCUUUGAAGCAGUAUGCCAUUCAUUGCCUCAGUAUAGAGAUUCAACAUUUAAUGAUUAUAGGAAUAAAAAAGGUGUAGCUCCAGACAGACACUGAAAAGGAAGGCAAAGAUGUUUUCAGACUGACAUAAAGCCCUAGUUUCUAAAACUAGAAAUAUAUUCCUAACAGCAAGCACGAAUAUUUCCAGAAUUAUUCCCCUUUACUUGUUUACCUGACAUUACCUGUUUUAUUUACAGGGAUAUUUAUGAAAUGAGCUAUGCACGUACAUUAUGAGUUUUCAAUGUUAUGAUGUGGUGGCAUAGAUUUUUUCACAAAUUUUAAUCUUGUUGUAUGUUCUUGAUUAAUCUAGUCAGCUUUUGUUUGUAAAAAAUAAAAGAAAAAUAAAUAAAAUUUAUCAAGAUA